rnacentral:rRNA from 1 species
AGAGUGCGUAACAGCUCACUAGUCGAGGAGUCGGGCGUGGAUAAUAAUCGGGUAUCAAGUUGUCUACCGAAGCAGUGGGAUCAUUAAUAUGAUCGGUAGGGGAGCAUUCCAGUCAGCGUCGAAGGCGUACCGUGAGGUAUUCUGGAGCGUCUGGAAAAGCAAAUGUAGGUAUAAGUAACGAUAAAGGGGGCGGGAAACCCCCUCGCCGAAAGACUAAGGUUUCCUGAUCAACGCUAAUCGGAUCAGGGUCAGUCGGGUCCUAAGGCUCAGCCGAACGGCGAUGCCGAUGGCAGAAACGGUUAAUAUUCCGUUACUACCUUCAGGAGUGACGUGGAGACGCAGUAGUGACAGUGCCGCCAUCUGACGGAAUAGAUGGUUGAAGGGUGUAGGAGUCGAUCAUGGCAGGCAAAUCCACCAUGAGAUCCGAACCUGACAGUAUGCCGCGUCCUUCGGGACAAGGCAAUAGUGCGCGUAAGCAUGCUGCCGAGAAAAUCCGCUAAACUUAAUCCUGCAGGUACCCGUACCGCAAACGGACACACGUAGUCGGGAUGAAUAUUCUAAGGCGCUUGAGUGAUUCACGGUUAAGGAACUAGGCAAACUGACCCUGUAACUUCGGGAUAAAGGGUCCCUACCCUUUUAUGGGAGGGCGCAGAGAAUCGGUCCAGGCAACUGUUUAACAAAAACACAGGGCUGUGCCAAAUCGAAAGAUCCAGUAUACAGCCUGACACCUGCCCGGUGCUGGAAGGUUAAGAGGAGAUGUCAUCGAUAAGAGAAGCGUUGAAUUGAAGCCCCAGUAAACGGCGGCCGUAACUAUAACGGUCCUAAGGUAGCG